ensembl:snRNA U6 U6 spliceosomal RNA
GUGCUCACUUCAGCUGCACAUGUACUGAAAUCAGAAUGAUACAGAGAAGAUUAGCAUAGCCCCUGCUCAAAAAUGACACAUAAAUUCAUGAGUUGUUUGCUAUUUUA